rnacentral:rRNA from 1 species
UACGUAGGUGGCAAGCGUUGUCCGGAUUUAUUGGGUUUAAAGGGUGCGUAGGCGGUCUAUUAAGUCAGCGGUGAAAUCCUCCAGCUUAACUGGAGGGGUGCCAUUGAUACUGAUGGACUUGAGUCAAGUCGAGGUAGGCGGAAUUGACGGUGUAGCGGUGAAAUGCUUAGAUAUCGGGAGGAACACCGGUGGCGAAGGCGGCGACCUGGGUAGAUACUGACGCUGAGGCACGAAAGCGUGGGGAGCAAACAGG